GACAUGCUCUGGAAAACACAGACAUUCUCAGAAAACUGCAGUCUGCUGAAAAUGCCAGGAGAUUUCAGGAGACUGGACUCUUCAUUAGGCCUUGGCAUCUUUCAUUGUUUUUGCAUAGGGAAUGGUGUCAACACUUUUUAUCUGAACAUCUGUAUGUCCAACUUUUUUCUAAUCCUGUUUCAAAUGGACAAGAUCUUAGGGCACAAGAGAAGAUGUGUGCUUGGGACAAAGCAUAUGACCAUUGCCGGACUUCUGAAAUCUAAAUCAGAUAAUCACUGCAGCUAAUAGAUGCUGGCCUUUUUGCAGUGAGUUACAUUUAAUAUACACUUACUGAAAGCACACAUCUUCACAGCUGAAAAUUAAAAUAAAAUGUAUUCCAUUACAA